rnacentral:tRNA from 1 species
AGAUGACUGCGGUCUAUUUUUGCCCUUUCACGGCGGCAACACGGGUUCGAAUCCCGUACGGGACGCCA